ensembl:lncRNA
GUCUGUCCACAUUUAGGAUUGUAUGUGUCACCUAAGGUCAACUUUUAGCCAGUCAAGAAGGCCACAAUUCAUGGAGCUGAAACAAUGGUUGUUCAAUUGCAUCUACAGAGGUCAAUGGAUGUUUUUACUGAUAUCUUUGCUGUCACACAUCUUCUACUUUAUAUAUGUAGUUGUAGGGUUAGAUAAGUUAAUUCUUCUCUAAAAGUUCUGGUACAUCGCCUGUCCGUGCUGGGGGAAAUACAGUUGUGAUCUUUAAAGACGCAUUAAACAGAAGAGUUACUAUAAAGGACAAAAUUCUGCCUAAACCUUUCGGCCAUGAACAAUAGUUGGAAAUUGUUAUUUAUGGAUAAUUCAAAGUUUUGAAAAAAGGAAAAAAAUACCAAUAGGAAAAGAACACACAAAAACCAAACAGUUGCCCACUGCUUUCACAAACAUUCACAGAAAUGUUUGACUUACCCGUGUAUGAGUGACUGCUGGCAUCACUUCUGUACACCACCUCCUCAGGGGACAGGCAAAGGGUUCCCUCGGAUGGCAUGUCCUCAGUGCUACUGUAUAUGUCUGCUAUUUUCAUUUCCACAGCACACCAGGGUAUCAUCUACAAGCCGGCCUCCACAGCAUUGAACCCCAUAGCCAUCAUGAAGGCUCCCACUGCAGCAGAGCUGGCCGCCUGUCAUGGAGUAAGGAACCCCCCCACAGCAUCUGUCACCCGGCCCCACGGAGACUCGGCCCUGCAAGUGGUCAGGACAGCAGUAUUCACCUACAAAGACAAGGACAGAUGAAGGAAACGCUUGAACAACGUGGAACGUUUUGAUCCCAGACAAUGAAACACAAUAAACCCGAUGUUAAUGCACACAAACAAAGUGAAACUCACUGGUUUUAACAAGAACAUAAUAUCCUUCACAGCACUGGUGCCCUGGGAGAGAUGGGAUCAGUUUGCCAUUGCAGCACACCGGGAUGGAAAAAUUAUUCCAACUCAUAUAACUGCCGUCACAACAAUAAUGAUGCAGCUUCUUCGUGUGUAACUGUCCAGUGCAGCAAACCUGUGUGACACAGUCACAUGAAUGGAAGAAAGUACAGUAUGUAAAAAAAUGCAGGUAAAUAAUGUGCCACAUUAAAUCCUUCCAACAGCUACUCUAAUGAGCCAAACGUGAAGCAGAAACUCUUGUCUUUAUUCAUUUAAAUAUUUUAAUAUAAAGCAUCUUAAUUCAACUUUCUUUUCCAUCCAAAUUCUGGGAUGGAACUUAUUGCUAAAUGCACUAAACUGGUGCGGAGAGACUGACUAAAUAUACCAUAUUUUCUGCACUAUAAGGUGCUUUAAAAGCUUUCUUUCUCUCUCAAAAAAGUGCGCCUUAUAAUUCGGAGCACCUUAUAUUUGGAUUCUUUUUGGUUUUGCUAAUUUAUGUCGAUGCAAUUUUGAAUGUUUGUUUCAUCAAAAUGUUAGUUAGGGAUUAUUGUGAAUAUGCUAACAGAUGUAGCGAUAUUGAUUUUUUUUUUUUACCUAUUACUAAAUAUGUUGGGAGUUAGCGUAGUCACAGUAACAUUUGUUUUAGCUGUAUUUGUCUGUUUUGUUUUAUGUGUUGCAAAAAAGUUAGGAGUUACAGUUAUUGUGAAUAAACUAACACCUGCUACAUUGCCAAUGUGUAGUGUGUCACAAACAAGUCAUAGAAUUACUGAACGCAGCUAUUAAAAGCCUGACUGACUGACAAAUUGAUCUGUAACACUUUUUAUCACUUAAUGUUUGGUAUAGUGUGUAAAAUGUGGUUUGUUUGUUAUAAUAAGCAGCAAAAUAGCAUACUAUGCCUGAGAAAAUGGCCAUCCUGUCUGAUCUCUAUAUUUCUAGAAGAGCCUUGUGCCUCUAAUGGAGGAUUAAUUUUUUUGUGAUCUUAAAUAUUGUUAC